rnacentral:rRNA from 1 species
GUAAGGAAUAUUGGUCAAUGGAGGCAACUCUGAACCAGCCAUGCCGCGUGCAGGAAGACGGCCCUCUGGGUUGUAAACUGCUUUUAUCCGGGAAUAAACCUGCCUUCGUGAAGGUAGCUGAAUGUACCGGAAGAAUAAGGAUCGGCUAACUCCGUGCCAGCAGCCGCGGUAAUACGGAGGAUCCAAGCGUUAUCCGGAUUUAUUGGGUUUAAAGGGUGCGUAGGCGGCCUGUUAAGUCAGGGGUGAAAGACGGUGGCUCAACCAUCGCAGUGCCCUUGAUACUGAUGGGCUUGAAUGGACUAGAGGUAGGCGGAAUGUGACAAGUAGCGGUGAAAUGCAUAGAUAUGUCACAGAACACCGAUUGCGAAGGCAGCUUACUAUGGUCCUAUUGACGCUGAGGCACGAAAGCGUGGGGAUCGAACAGGAUUAGAAACCCCAGUAGUCC